UACGAACUGUGCAAACGUUAUUCGGAUUCACUGGGCUUAAAGGGUGCGUAGGCGGUUUGUCGCGUCGGGAGUGAAAUCCACUGGCUUAACUGGUGGCUUGCUUUCGAUACGGGCAGACUGGAGGUAUGCAGGGGAGAACGGAAUUCCUGGUGUAGCGGUGAAAUGCGCAGAUAUCAGGAGGAACACCUGCGGUGUAGACGGCUUUCUGGACCAUUGCUGACGCUGAGACACGAAAGCGUGGGUAGCAAACAGG
rnacentral:rRNA from 1 species